GUUGGGUUCUAUUGUGUCCAUUCCAUUAUGUAGACACAAGCCUUCUUUCCCCAUUCUGAUGGAUAUGCAGGGCCUGCCAGUCUGGGGUUAUUAUACAUCUAAAGCUACAUACAGAGAAUCCCAGUGUGGGGGCCAGGCCUGCAAUCCCAGCAGGAGAUGAUGAAGAAUUGCUGAGAUUUCAAGGCCAGCCUGGGUCACAAAAUGAGUUCUGGGCUAGCCUAGACUAUUGUAUGACACCGUGCCUCAAAAACCUAAACUCUAUCAAUGAACCAACCCCUUCAAGACUCCCCCAAACUUUCAAAGAGCUGGAUAAUGGUAUAUAUAUUCAUACACACACACAUGUGCACACACACUCACACAUGCACACACAUGCACACACAUACACACGCACACAUACACACUCACACACACACAAUUUUAACCAAUCAUAAAGGCAAACUUUAGGCAUCUAUCAUCUUUCUGACUGAAAAUUAGAAAGCAGGAGAGACAAACUGUUGAGAUGUUUCCCCAUACUGCGAUGAAAAAGUUAAACAUGAAAAUAGAAGUCUGAGAGCUGUGUAUAAAAUGUGUCAAGCUUGCCCUCUUUCCUCAAAAUAGCACCAGCGAUCACAAUUAAAGGGGUUAAAAACCAUUACGGCAAUAUUUCUGAAAUGAAUCUUUCCUCUUCUCUGGUGACGCCCCCUAAAAACAACCACGUGCCAUGGGGUGAAAUAGCUUCAAAGUUUCCAGAAGACCCAAGUUUUUCAGUGUCGUUUCUCCAUCAUUUUUAGAUAAGGGAAAUUCAGUGCACUUCCGUCCCUGACUUCUCAUGAAGAACUAGGGGAUCACACUUAUCUGGAGGCCUGGUUUGGUGGGGGUGGGGGACGGCUUUCAUCAUUUGAGGGGGUUAGGGAAUGGUUUCCCUGAGCUCCUUCAUUUCUGUCCCUCAGACUUGGAAGAGAGGCCUCAGGAAAGUCAAACAGUUUUUCAAGCCCAGGUAGCCGACGUCCUUAGUAAGAGCAGCCGUGAGCCAGAGGCAGCCUUGCAAGCUCGUCAAAACAACAACAACAACAACAACAACAACACAAGACAUUUACCUCUAAACCCUUUUUAUUAAGGUUUGUGUGUGUGUGUGUGUGUGUGUGUGUGUGUGUGUGUGUGUGUGUGUGUGUGUGUAUCUAUGGGUCUAUGCUAUGGUGUGUGGGUGUCCGUGGAGACCAGAUAAAGCCAUUAGGUCCUCUGGAAUGAGUUCAGGGUGGUUUUGACCUACCCAGGGGUGGUCGGCAACCAAAUCUGGGUCCUCUGCAAGAGAAGCAAAUGCCCUUGACUGCUGAGUCAUCUCUUUAGCUCCCGUAUCGCAUUAAUCUGUUUUUUUUUUUAAACUUUAUUUUAGCCAGGUGUGGUGACGCACCCCUUUCAUCCCAGCGUCUGCGAAGCAGAGGCAGAGAAGAUCUUUUUGAGUUUUCCCUGGUCUGCAUAGCCUGUCUGGUUUGUUCUUAAAAAAAAAAAAAUGAAAACAAACAAAAAAACCCCUUUAUUUCAUUACUAGUCUAUGUGUGGGAGGUGAUCGCAUGUCACGGCGCCGUGUGCAGAGGUCAGAGGACAACCCUGAGGAUUGGUUCUCCCCUUCUGGUUCUGAGGAUUGCACUCAUAUGUCAUCUGGUUUGUGUGGCAAGAGCCGAACCUGCUGAACCAUGUCUUGAGCAACCUCGGCAUACCUCUAAGUCUUCGAGUAGAGUUUUUAUUUCUUGUGAGUAAAUAACCAGGGACAGGACUCUGCUCAUAACAGUAAGUGCACAUUUAGUUUUAGAAGGAAAUGUUGUGUGUUUUUCAGUGACAAACGACAGCAAGUUCUCAGGUGCCUGACUUUUCCCCAGCUACUUGUCUAUGUUCUCCGGUGGUACCGGGUGGGGGGUACCCCCAGCUCUGCUCCCUUACCUAGGAGUCACAGCACUUUUAACAACGUGGGACCUGCCUGGCUACUUCACAGCCGUACGGUCUAGACAACUCUCGGGAGCUACGGCUUGCAAAAGCUUCUUUUCUUUUCCUCUUUCUUUCUUUCUUUGCAUUUAUUUAAUUUUUGUUUGUUCUUGUUUUUAGACUAAAACGCAUUAUGUAGACCAGGCUGGCCUUGAAUUUAUAGAUACCUGCCUGCCUCUGCCUCCAGAGGGCUGGGAUUAAAGGUGUGCACAACCACGACUGGCCAAGCAGGAAUCUUAAAAGCAGGAAUCUUACGAAGUACUUGAGAACAAGGGGGUAACAUUUUGCCUGGUUGCCCUUUUCCUGAAAUAGUGAUCGGGAUACUCUCUAGUGCUCAAAAGGUACACACAGUGUAAAAGCACCGACUACCUCUGCUUUUUCUGCCUCCCAUGGGCUCUGACUCCACUUGAAUGGCUAAGGUACAGCACCACCUUAUCCUUUUUUUUUUUUUCUUUUCUUUUCUUUUCUUUUUUUCGGAGCUGGGGACCGAACCCAGGGUCUUGCGCUUGCUAGGCAAGCGCUCUACCACUGAGCUAAAUCCCCAACCCCCCACCACCUUAUCCUUAAAUGGACUCCUGUUUCCCAAUCUCACUGGACCCUGAGGCCACGUCACUGGGGCAGGAAGGUCCUGCGUUACCAGCUAUGUGUGAUCUCUUCCCUGCUUUGCUUUGCACUGGCAAACUCUUCCCACCUUUCCAGACCCCCCUGUCCCACAAAGCUUUGUCAUUUUAUGGGUUCCCAGCAACUUGCCUUCAAGGGAAGCGAUAUCGGUCACAUUUUAUAGACCAGGUACAAAGUUUGUCCUUCCUAGGUGGAACAGUCUCAGGCCAUUUUGCUUACAUCUCAUUGUGAUACGUGUUCAUAUUCAAGUUACCUGAGGCAGGUGGACUGGUCUGAGUUCAAGGCUAUCCUAGAGUAUAUAUCAAGUACUGGGUUAGCCAGGGCUGCUCAUUAAAAUUCAGUCUUUAAAUACAUACACACACACAUACAUACAUACAUACAUACAUACAUACAUACAUACACACACACACAUACAUACAUACAUACAUACAUACAUACUUAUAUAUAUAUAUAUUUUUUUUUUUUUGGUUCUUUUUUUCGGAGCUGGGGACCGAACCCAGGGCCUUGCGCUUCCUAGGUAAGCGCUCUACCACUGAGCUAAAUCCCCAGCCCCCAUACUUAUAUAUUUAUAUUAACGUUUUCCUCUUCUUUUUUUCCCGGAGCUGAGGACCAAACUCUCAGGGCCUCACACUUGCUAGCAAGCGCUCUACCACUAAGCUAAAUCCCCAACCCCUGUUUUCCGUUUUCCUCUUCCUCCUCUUCCUCCUCUUCCUCCUCUUCCUCCUCCUCCUCUUCCUCUUCCUCUUCCUCUUCCUCCUCCUCCUCCUCCUCCUCCUCCUCCUCCUCCUCCUCUUCCUCCUCCUCCUUCUAUCUUUUUCAUGCCUUUAGCUCCCAUGCAUCUCAUUGGUGCCCACAAACAGCAGAAGCACAACAAAUAUUUAAUAAGGGAAGAAAAUGCUGUAAUCCAUUAGUUCUGCAGUUUCCGUCUACAUUCCACAGUGGACGCCACUCUCCACUGUUCCCUUAGAAUUUCACUAACUGUGGAGACAAUCCCUAGCUGUUUUCACAGAGUGGAAAGUGUAAUGGGAAGUUUGGCUUCUGAGAGUAGAGACUCCUGAUUCCCCACGCAAGAGUGAUUAGUCAACCCAGUAUCACAGCAGAAGAAUCAAAACAUGUUGCUGGACGAAGGAUUUUGAAAGUGCCUGAGCAGGGAGAACAUUUUGUAAAUACUAGAAUGUUCCAGAUGGACAGAGAUCUUGAUAAACACACAUUUGGUUAUCUUACUCAACUCAGUAAGGACUUCAGGAUCACAUGCCUGGUGAUAACCCAGCCCAAGUCACUAAACAACUUGGCCGUGACCUUGUCUUCUCCCCAGGGCCCUGAAACACGCUGGGUACAGGGCCAGGUGUCCUAUACCCAGAAACCCAGGCGGAAUCAUCAGCGAUGACUAAAGGGUGAAGGAGACUGGAUUAUAAAAAGACCUGAAAACAGAACCCACAUGGCAAACCCACGUGACUCAGGGAUGAGUAAGGAUUGGGAAGCAAGGGCUUGGGUCUUGACCCCCCACCCCCAACCCUACCCUCACAAACAAAACCAUCUCCACCGAGGGGAGGUGAGGCCAGGGUAGAGAGAUGACAAGAAAGUACUUGAGGAAAACAAAGGCAGAGCGGGACAAACCCACAAGAGGGGAGAACCUGGCUCUUUCCCUGUGUGCUGGACUAGAAAACAUCAAAUCCUCUUUACAAAACUCAGGGUGACUGAGGUGACCAAAGGAUAGGCGUUCCUUUACCUCCAAACGUCAGGAGAUCUCAGACCUUGACUAAUAUUUAGCCUUUCAUUGUCAGAGGGAUCUUUCAGGAGUGAGACAAAUGGUGAGAGGGAGCAAGGGCUGAGCAGAUGGCCUGUGCCCCCGGUCUCAGCAGAACAGUGCUAUAGGCCCAAGUGUUACCCUUCACCCUUCGGCUGGGCCUUCACAGCAGGUGACUGGGAGGAGAGAGGGUACUUUGAGUCUCCUAGUAUAGCAGAACAGCUUCCAACACAGCGGCUGAAACCUGAGCCUCCAAGCAGAGAGGAAAGGUCAGAGAGUGAAGGCAAUACUUGCUAGGUGUUUGCCAAGGCCUUCUGUGUGCAGGAAGCCUGCUGCUGCCCAUCCAACACCCAGCACCCCUUUCUGUGGCCAAUGACUAUGUUCUCUCUCUGUCUCUCUGCACAGCUAGACCCUGACUUCUGCAUACCUGCAGUCUAGUGACUUAGGAAGGCCACAUGAAUAAGGGACCGCUGGCACUAUAGCUUGAAACAUUAAGGUUUCUAUUUACCCAUCACCCAUCUACACAGGCUCUACUGGGGCCAGGCCCUCUGGUAUAAGAGUGAGUUGAGAGACAACUGGAAGCUAGGCAUAGUGGUAUGUUCCUGUAAUUUGAGCACUCAGGAGGCUGAAGCUAGGGGGCAGACAUGACUUCGAGGUCACCCUUGGCUGCUUAAUGAAUUCCAGGCUAGCCUGAGCUACAGAGACCUUGUUUUAACUCCCCCUUCAAUACUCCUUCUCCAAACCCCAAACAAACAAAAAUGGUGAACACAAAAUGAUGUGUUGAAAGCAGAAGUAGCAUGGGUGUCAGUCCAUGCUGGGCCAGCCCAGCCCCGGGAAUCUUGUGGAAGAGAUGUAAUGUAAGUUUUAUAGCUUUGGUCUAGCUAGAAAAAGUCAUGGAAAACUCUAGUUCUUUUCCAUAGUAAUCUAUCCCUAGUGGUCACUGGUUUUUAGAGCUCUGUGGAAUUCCAGACUUAUCUGAUUCUCUUGGGCAUCUCUCUCUCUCUCUCUCUCUCUCUCUCUCUCUCUCUCUCUCUCUCCCUUUCUUCCUUUAUUUCUUUCCUCUUUUUUGUUUUGUUUCCUCAGUUAAGAAUUAGAAAAAGAAAAAUAUGAAAAGACCACAAAGGGGCUGGAGAGAUGGCUCAGUGGUUAGAGCACUGACUGCUCUUCCUGAGGUCCUGAGUUCAAAUCCCAGCAACCACAUGGUGGCUCACAACCAUCUGAAGUGAGGUCUGAUGCCCUCUUCUGGUGUGUCUGAAGACAUUGACAGUGUACGCACAUACAUGAAAUAAAUAAAUCUUUUUUUUUUUUUUUUGGUUCUUUUUUUCGGAGCUGGGGACCGAACCCAGGGCCUUGCGCUUCCUAGGCAAGCGCUCUACCACUGAGCUAAAUCCCCAACCCCAUAAAUCUUUAAAAAAAGAGAAGAAAAGAAAAGACCACCAAGAAGAUCUGCUGAGUUGGGGAGUCUUGAGUGGCCAGAUUAGGCCACUUAUCAAGGUCCUGUUUGAGAGAAGGAGAGUGUGAGAGAGAAUAGUGUGUGUGAGAGAGGAGAUACAGCUCAGCAGAAGAGUGCUUGACUAGCAUUCAUGAGGUCCUAGGUUCAAUUCCCAGUGCUGGUAAGAAAAAUAAACCCAAACUAGAAAGCAACCAUGGCCAGCAAGAUGGCUUGGGGGAUAAAGGUGCUUGCAGACUUGAUGACCUGGCUUCCAUCCCUAGGACCCACAUAGUAGAAGCGGGAAUCAAUUGCUCGAAGUUAUCCCCGGAGCUCCUUCAUAUGUAACCUUGCAUAUGUCCCCUUCCCUGAUAAAAACACGUACACGCACAUGCAUGCACUCGCACAUACAUAGAUGUUAGGGGUUUUCAAUGUCUAGGUGUGGAAAGAUUCAGUGUUCUUGACUCCACCUGGCAAUCUGCAUGCCCAUUAUGCAGGGGGCUUGGAAAUUCUUGUUCCCCAAAGAGAACAUGUGCUCAGUCUCACCUCAAACUUUGACCCAUACGUGAAGGUAGAGGUCUCCCCUGCACUUCCUUUGCACUGAAGAGGCAUCACCAGGCUCUUCAAAAGUCAGAAUAAUGACCAUGCAAAAGAUGCCAACAUUCUGAGCCUUAGGCUUUGCAAUGUUGAAAAGGAACUUUGUCAAUGUGGUUCAGCUAAGGAUAUGGAGAUGUGAUCAUAAGAAUCCUAAGGAGAAGGAGACAAGAGCCACGAAAGAGGAGGGUGGAAAUGGGAGAGGGAUGGGAAUAAGGAGAGAGGGAGGAAAGGAUGGAAAAAGGGAAGGAAAGAGCGUUGAAGAUGUUGUUGCUGACUCUGAAGACAGAGGUUCCUUGAGCCAAGAAAUGCAGGAGGACCCUAGAAACCAGAAAAAGCAAAUAAACAACCCUCUGUGCAGUCUCUGGAGGCACACAGCCUUGCUGACACUUGAGUUUAGGACCUCUGACCUCUAAGAGGACAAGUUGUGAGUUAGAAGCGACUAAGAUCGUGGUAAUUUGACACAGCAGCAGUAAAAAUGGAAUACAGAGACAGACGCUGUGCAGAAAGAGCAGAAAGCAGGACCUGUCUUCAAAGAGAAAAAGCCUUUAAAGAGUGACCGGGUGGAGCUGGGGUGGGGCUCAACGGUGGCUGGCGUAGGCACUGAUCACACUUCACACGCCCAGGGCAAUCAUCAGCACCAAACGUCAACACUAAAAAGAGCAGCGGGGUGACAUACCCAGACUCCGGCUCCAGCAGGAGGAGCACGGCCCUCUGGAAGUUUGCUAGUGAAGGUGAGGUCACCAGUGUGCCAGUGUAGGUGGCACACUUCCACACUGCAAGAUGACAUUUCAACACUUCUGGUUGCCCAACCCAGGUGGGACCCCACAACUAAAGCAUCACCCCCUCUUCUUCCUCCCUGGGUAACUGUCCCUCUGGGGACAACAGAAGCUUCCCUCUUCUUAAGAGAAAACCAAUGCAAAGGAGACAACGUUCCUUCUGCAUCUAAGUCAGGGUCACAACCUUCCUAAUGUUAUGAUCCUUUAAUCCAGCUCCUCCUGUUGUGGUAAGCCUUCCCCUCCAAAAAAAUUAUUUCUGUGGCUACUUCAUAACUGUACUUGUGCUACUAUUAUGAGUUGUGAUGUAAAUAUCUGUGUUUUCUGAUGGUCUUAGGCGACCCCUGCGAAAGAGGCAUUUGACCCCUAAAGAGGUUAUGACCCACAGGUUGAGAACCACUGAUUUAAUCCCAGGAACUCCUCAAAAUUCUCUCUGUAUUCCAAUCAGCUUCAAGUCCACAUGAACAACCUUGCCCCCAAAACAAAACAACAAAACCAAAUUAAAAAAAAAAACAAAAACCACAGGUCCAACUUCUGUCAAGACAAGAGGGUGCUAGAUGCUAGGAUGACCACAGCCAUGAUUCCUUUGUUCUUUGUCCCCUUGCUUGUCUGUUUCGGAGAAAGGGUUUCAUAUAUCCUUGGCUGGCCUCCAACUCACUAUGUAGUUGAGGGUGAAUUUGAACUCCUGACUCCCCUUGCCUCCAUCUCCCGAGUGCUGGGGUUACCCAUGUGCACCUCCAUACCUGGCUCACUCCCGUUGUUCUAUUGGUCUCCUUAUUUUAUUAACCCGAAGCUACAAUCAAGGGUCAUGAGAGGAGUUAAGAGUGAAAGCCAAAGGGCUGGGGCUGGGGCUGGGGCUGGGGCUGGGGCUGGGGCUGGGACUGGGGUUCUGAGGAAAACAGCAAACAAAGGCCCAAGAGAUGAUCUCAAGAGCCUGUGGCUGAGUUCCUCAAGUCAUUCCUCAAGUCAGAACUGGCAAGAGGUCAUACAGCAUACUACUGUGCUGUCAUAGACACUAGACAUACUUUGAUGGAACCCAUUCUGUGACUUCUCUUGGCUAAAUCCAGUAGGUAGAACGAAACAUGAGGUUAAGGGAAGACAAGGAUCAUGGUGGUGCAUGGAGUCAUUUGUAGAUUAUAAACUACAGAUAGAAGAGGCAAUUUAAAAUUCAUCUCUUGAGACCAUUUGAAAUAAAACACCAAUGGUCAGUAGUUUAAAUAAAUCUUCACUUAGAAUGCUUUAAAUAUGGAUUCAGGAGUCCUCGGAACACAGAGUCAGGGCUAAGUCUGUUAUUCUUACCCCUGGCCAGAGGAAAAAGAGUGAUCACUGAUGGUUUCCUUCGAAAAUGGGGGCUCACCAUUGGUACUAAAGCCCACUGAAUGGAGGACGGAGAAAUCUGCACAGAAAAUAUUUGGGAGUUUUUCUCGGGUGCCACUGUGCUGCUCUGGGGAGUACCUGUUUUCUGCCUGAGGGAACAAAGGGCAUGCGAAUGCUGCAAUACUGAGGAGAUCGGGGUGUGUCUAGGGUGGCCUCUCUUCCUUCCCAGAAGAAAGCUCACGAAGUGCAAGCUCAUGAAACACAGGCCCUCCCCACACUGUACUAGGAAAUGAUUUUUUCAAGGGCGCAUGCCUCCGCACAUGGGAUUCUGGCUGCUUGUUGAGGAAGGGCUCAUUCCAUAUCGUUCUCAGGAAGUCCUGAGAUUUCCUCUCCAUUCUGGCCUGACAGGUGUAAAGGGGAAUAAGGCUAUUUGGAGAGGGGGCCAGGUUGCUGUUUUAAGAUAAAUGAGCCAGAUUUAUAGCCAGCGCUUUACUCCAGAGGUAGAUAUGUAGGCCUGUGCCCUACUUCUCAGAUGCAUAGUCCUAGCCUCCUGAGAACGGCCCUAAGAGAUCAAGAACCUCAUUUAUUAGAUGUAAAUAAGGUCCCAGUUACUUUAGUGGCAAAAGCAUGAUGGGAUGCCUCCCCCUCCUCCCUCACAAUUCCAGGCCAAAGGCCGGCUUUGGCAUUACAUCAUAUAUUAGCCACUCCUUCCUGGUCACUCACCUCCUCAGCUCCUGCUGAAGGUACCCAUGAUGUGCUGUAGCACCACUUGGAACUAAAGACACCCAAAGACACUGGCCUGGCUCCAUGGAGCCCAGGCUGGCUCUGAACUGCUCAUCCUUCUGUCUGCACCUCCCAAGUGCAGAGAUUACAGGUGUGCCCCACCACAGCUGCUCUCUCUCUCUCUCUUUCUCUCUCUCUCUCUCUGCACAGAUAUGUGAGACCAUGCAUAUGUACACAUGUGUAAGAAACAUGCACGCCCAUGAAGGCUGGGGGCCAGCAUCAGGUAGCUGUCUUUAUUGCUACCCACCCACUUUGUCAUAUAGAAUUCCACUGAACUUACCAAUUGGCUGGACUGGCCAGCCAGCAAGACCCCGGAUGCUCCUGUCUUUGCCUCCAGUGCUGGGAUUACAGGUAUGUGCUGUUUACCUCUGGCUUUUUAAAUGAAUGCUGUGGUGACGGGAACUCAGGUCUUCACAUUUAUGCAGCCAGCACUUUACUCGGUGAGACAUCUUCCUAACCCUCCGUGAUUUUAUUUUUUAAGUAGGGUCUUACUAUAAUGUAGUCUAUUGCCUUCAAACUCACUCCAAUCUCAGGAGUUCCAUUGUUACAGCUAUGCACCAUCCUUCCUGGUUCCAUUUGACUUUCUUGGUCAGGACUGGUCUGGAGGCAUCUUGGAAGAGCUUAUCUCAGUUUAAUAUUGCCAGUAGGCUUCUCCUCGUCUUCAUAGGGAAGGGAAAGUGGCAUAGGAAGCAGGGCAGGGGGUGGCUAGGUAGGGUGACACACACUGGCAAUCCUAGCUUAGGAGGAUGGAGGCAAACCUGAGGUCAGGCUGAUUUAUCCACUGAGUUCCGGGGUAGCUAAAGUUAUAUAAAGAAACCUUGUCUUAAAGGAAGGAAGGAAGGAAGGAAGGAAGGAAGGAAGGAAGGGAAGGGAAGGAGGGACUGAGGGAGGGAAGGGAGGGAGGGAGGGAAGGAAGGAGGGAAGGGAAAGGUUGUGGUGGAAGAUGUGUGGAUGUACCAGAGUCAAAAAGACAGAUGGAGAAGAAGAAAAGAACGUGAACAACAGUGUAGGAGGCAUGGGGGAGAAACACAAAGAGAAAAGGAGCUGGGGUGGGGCAGGACAGAGAAAAGAAAGGCGCAAAGAAAUAAGCAGACAGCUGCUGAAAUGGGGAAGCCGUGGCACCACUAUGUAGAAACCAGAACACCCCGUUCUACUCCAGAACUUCAAAACAAGCACCUCUCCGGGAUGGAGCACCCAGUCCUCCGAACCAGUUAUAGCUUCCACCUGGCCAGGGCGAGUGGUGUGCCAGAAAAUUCGGGGUCACAGUCUCACCGCAGGCUAGGGCACUCACGCACUUCUCUGCUAUACUCUGGCCAACAUCCUCUGUUUCUGUGGCUCUGGAGCCACAGCAGAAGGCCAAGGUGAUGCCAGCGUGCACAGCCCCGCAGGGUGCCUGUAAGGCUGCUGGGGCACUGGCCCAGUGACCGGAGAGGGUGUGGCCACUCUCUGCACUCUGAUAGGCUGGACAGGGUUCCUUGGCCUCCUCUACUACUCAGAGGAGGAACUGGGCACGUGUUUCUAUUCACGGAAACACUGGCAUGUCUAACCUCAUCCCUUUCCAGAUCUAGGAGGUACCUGCUGCUAUCUGCCAAUAGCACUGAUAGGCAAAGAAAAUAGUGCUUUGAGUUCUAAGGCACACAACCUGAGGCUGAGAUAAGGUCCGGUUCUGCCCUGAAAGCUGUAGGAGUCAGCAUCUGUUCCUCCUCAAAGAGGUAGGGUAGAAGUGGGAAGCAGGGGGUUGGGGAUUUAGCUCAGUGGUAGAGCACUUGCCUAGCAAGCGCAAGGCCCUGGGUUCGGUCCCCAGCUCCGGAAAAAAAAAAAAAAGAAUUGGGAAGCAGAAUUAGCUUCUAAGAACUACCCCAGAAUCGUCUCUGGUGAAACAGUUUGUUUGUUUAUUUGGUUGUUUUUUUAAGGUAGGAUCUUAUGGAGCUGAAGCAGGCCUCGAACUCACUGUGUGGUUAAGUUUGGCUGGGAACUCCUCGUCCCCCUGCAUCUGCCUCCCCAGUGCUGGGAACACAAGUAUGCGCCAUCGCCCAGACAGUUCUCACACGGGGGGUGGGGGGGUGGGUGAGGAGUCACAUCAUAAAGUCUUCAGGCACCCUGCCUACCUACAACAAACGUUGGCAUUGUUGAACAUGUGACACAACGUGACGGCGGGAAGUUAUAGAUGUAAAUAACCCGACUCCGGAAAACAAAGCAUCAAACCGGAGAGACGGCAACCAACCAUCAAAGCCGGCCUUUCUUCAUAAACGACGCUUUGAUCCUGAGAGCUGCUGUGAUGUGUACAGUAGUGGUUUGGUUUUGAAAUAGAUCUUGCCCACCAUAGCGGAGUAUAUGUUCCUUCCUCAGUCCUUUUCAUCUUGAUGAUAAUUUAGAAACUUCAGAACUCCCUUUUGUAGGAAGAGAGGUUCUUUGAGCGUUUCCUCUCUGCUCCAAGGACAAGCAGUUAGCUGGCCAGCCAGUGUUUCUGGAGGUCAUGCCCGGCACAGCUACUCCUGGACGCUUUGAGCUCCUGCUGGGCCACCUCCUCCUCCCUUCCCCUUCCUUCAUAUCCUUUUCUCUCCAGGGCCAGAUGCUGGACCUGCAGUUCCUGCUGAAUCACCACUCAGUACUUAGUUUAGCCAAGAAGUCUGAACACCUAGCUCAGCGUUUUCCAAGAGCUGAGUAUUCUUUCUACAGUACGGCUCUGAGCUGGGUUGAGAGAUAAAAACCAAGAUGCUGGGAGAACAGGAAUUCCAUGCAGGGAGCCUCAUUUUUUUUUUUUUUCUGGAGCUGGGGACCGAACCCAGGACCUUGCGCUUGCUUACCACUGAGCUAAAUCCUCAACCCAGGGAGCCUCAUUUUAACCCUAGUCCAUACCUUUCCAACUGUGUCUGAAGUUUCUUAUUGUCUCAGUCCCUGGAUCUCAGAGCUGAAGGUCCAGACCCAGAGCAAGGUUAAUGGCUGCUUCUGUUAGGUCUGCCCAGCAGAGUUUGACUGUAUCAUUCAGUCUCAGGGAAGCGGGUGUGGGUCCUAGGAGGGCUGUUAGGUUCUCAGAUUAGAGGUUCAUGGACUCGGUGUUCACCAAGAUUUAUAUAUAAACUGGCUGUAAGUUCCCCACAUGGUUCAGUUAUAACCCAACCGUGAGGGCAGCUAGUACUCAGACUUGUCAAAGGAACUUAACUUGUACUUCCUUUCAUUCAGAACCAGUAGGCCUCACCCUCAUAAUCCUGUAAGCCCUCUGAGUUCAUGCUCUCUGGCAUGUGAUGUAAAUGUGGCAUAUAACGUUAAUCCUUCAGAGUUCAGCAGACCAGCAGAUGAUUUUGUAACUACACCUAUGGGUUCCCCUGGGAAAAACAGAGUGCUCCUUGAGAGAGGUAACAGAAAGGUAGAAGAGGGCCCAAGCUUCUAGGUCGGCAUAAGCGAGUAAGGGGGAUCUUCCUGUUGGAAGCUGAACUCCCAGAAGACUCGUUUCAGGAACCCUCAAGCCUCCCCCAACAUGGUAGAAACAGCCCUGGACACAAACCCUUCACUCCACACACAGCUUUCAGGAUGGGAGCAAACUCCAGUCCGGGAGAGAUAAGAAAGCUGGAGGUUACAAAAGAUGCUAACAGAGGUGGAACCCAAGCCCAGUGAAACUAGAAAGACUUCUCAGGAGACCAGUGGAGGGCCACAGCCUGGCUGGACCCAAACCAGUGGCUCCACGUAUUUAGCACCAAGAAGUCUCUAGGGAACAUGGCCCCCAUGUUCUCUGUGAUAUAUGUAAUUAUUUACUAUGAUAUUUCAAAUAUCAGGCCCUGGGCCAGGAGUUGUUCUUUCUAUUGGAGAUCAAGACUGAGUCCCUGAAAGACGCAUAUGACCAAUGUGACCGAGAUGCCCUCAAUUCCAGGGCAACAAGAAAAAGCAACACCCCGAGGCCCGGUCUGAAAGGGAAGUGGUACUAAGCAUUUAUUCUGUCCCUGGAGUUGUAAAGUCCAAAGGCCCAGGGGAUAUCUUCUCCAAGUCCUAGGAAUGGCUCUUGAGAGUGGAAGGGUGACAAGGGACAGUAUCCAACUACUGAGAGCAGUGUGAAAACAUUAAAACAAGAUCUAGUAUCAUCCUUGAUGAGUUUACAUAUAUCCCCAUUGAAAUAAAAAUGUGCCUUCUUUGCCUUCUACCCAGUCCUGGCAAUUCUCUUUGCAUUUUUUGAGACAGGGUCUCAUUAUGUAGUCCUGCCUGGCCCGGAACUAUCGAUGUAGACUUGGUGAACCUUGAACUCACAAAGGUCAGCCUGCCCCUGCCUCCUGAGUGCUGAUAUCAAAGGCUUGUGCCACCAUACUCAGCAGUCCUGGUGAUUUCUUUCCUAAACACCAAAUACAUUAACUCUUCUCUCCUCAGUGAUGCCACUGAGUCACCUCGUAGACAUUUCUUUUUUUUUUUUUUUUUCUUUUUUUCGGAGCUGGGGACCAAACCCAGGGCCUUGUGCUUGCUAGGCAAGCGCUCUACCACUGAGCUAAAUCCCCAACCCCUCGUAGACAUUUCUAAUGGAGAUGCCUGUGACUACAAUGGAAUCAGUUUCCUCUCCCCUGGCCUUUUUCCCAAGGCCCACCCAUUUGAGAUUCCUCUAAAUGCAAUUCUGAUAAUGCCAUUCCUCUGCUUUGAAACCCUUCCGGUGCCUUCCCACUACCUUGGGGGCAGAGUUGAUCCCUUCAUAACUGGAUCCACACUUCUAUCAUAUUUCUUUGUUUUCUUUUUUUAGGCAGAGUCUCUCUGUGUAGCCCUGGAUAUCCCAGAAAUUGCUAUGUAGACCAGGCUGGUGUUGAACUCAAAGAUUUCCUGCCUCUCUGCCUCUUGAGUGCUAGGAUUAGAGGGGUGCACUACCAGGCCUGGUCUCCUGUUAGAUUUCUUACUGCUUAUUCUAUACUGUGACUGCAUUAAACUACCUAUAGUCCUAUGUCAUGGUCCUAUCAGAAGGACCACGAGAACAUUUUCCUGCCCCAGCCAACAUGGUUUUCUGACUUAUGCUGAACAUUGCCUGGUUAUUUUCAAGUGUUGUUUUAGAGUCUAGAGCCUAGGGUUAGCCUGGAGCUUACUAUGUAGUCCAGGCUGGCCUCAAACUUGUGGUACUUCUCCUGUCUUAGCCUCUGAAUGCUGGGAUUGCAUGUGUAUAUUACAAUGCUUGGCAGAAUGAAGUGUUCUCUCUCUCUCUCUUUCUCUCUCUCUCUCUCUCUCUCUCUCUCUCUCUCUCUCUCUCUCUCUCUGGUCUGUUUCAAUAUCCUAUCUAUUGAGAACAGUUUAUCUGGUAUGUUGUGUUACUUAAGAACUGUUGGACAGUGUUGUAAUGCUCCUCUCAAUAGUACUUCCCAAGAGGCGUCAGACUUAUCUGAGUUACUAAUGUUUUCUUUCCUUCUUCUCUUUGACCUGGUGCUGGGGAUCAAAACCAAGGGCCUUUGUGCCCUCUAGGCAAGUGUUCUACCACUGAGCCACACCCCUCCCUUGGUUCCAUUGUUUUACAGCAGGCAUUUUAGUAGAAUCUUGGGAUGGUCAUCCCAAGGAAGACUUCUAAGCAGAAACCUGCUCAGCACACAUCAGGAGUCUGGGAGGAUUGGAAGGUGGGGAGAGAGGGAAUGCAGUUGGAAUAACUGCCCAUCGCCACCAUGGUAAAAAGGUCCAAUAUGCUAGUUGCUUCCACUGCAAAAACUUCCUGCUUCUCAUGGCACAGAGACUUUGUGAGACUCUUUGAGUUUAGGCCACCACCUCCUUUGUAGCCUGGACAAAUGCUAAGCCUGUUUCUCUUCAUGUUUCAAGCUUCACUCAUCAUUCAUCCAGUGUCAACAUUAGUACAUAUUAUUCCUCAACGAAUCAUGUGUUACUGCUCAAAUGCCUUGAGUAUUCCCCAUUCAUUCAUAUGUAUAUGUGUAUGUAUAUGUGUGUGUGUGUGUGUGUGUGUGUGUGUGUGUGCAUAUGUGUGUAUAUGUAUGCUCUUCCUUGCCUAGUAUAAGGCUAUCCUUCAAGUUCUGCUGUUGCCCACUGUCCUGAGAACUCUUCUGGGACAAGAGAAAGACAAGAAGGAAGUGCCACCCAGGUGUCUGGGCAAUGCUUAAUGUUUUCAGAUGAGAAGUUUGAGUCUAGAGACUAUGAAGGCUCAAGAGAAGAUGGACUGAGCUCAAGGGAUUUGGAUGCUGAAUCCUCUUGUGUCAUGGAGACUUGCAAAACAGGGCAGCGUCCUGCUCCAGGCGGUCUGGGCCUCUGCACAGGGAUUGAGAAGGUUAGAAGAAAUGCCUGAAGUUCUUUCCCUUCCAGAUAGCUCAAGGAAUGGAGAGAAUUGUGCAGCGUUGGAACAGCAAUCUCAGAAAUCUCGGAGGAGAGAUGGAGUCCAGGAUAAGACGCAUUUCCCUUCUGCUAUGCACACAGGGUGCUAUGUGCUCCUUUCUCCACAGGAUGAGGAAGAAGGAAUUUCUUUAGGGUAAGAUCUACCAGAAGUCUAUGUGACAACACUGUCAUUAAAAUGUGGGCAGUGACUUUAGUCCCCAAAGAAAUGAAUGGAACCAGGAAUUAUCUUAAAUGCACACCGAUCUCCAAGAGAAAGAGAGGCAGAAGCCAAACAGUUGGGAAACAUGAUUCUUAGAGGAGGGUUAGGGUGUGCCUUGGAGGUAGAAAGCUUGCCCAACAUGUGAUUAAGACCUUAGGCUUAUCCCCAGUACACCUCCAACCUCUGGCCAAGACACAGAUGGGAGACUGUGAAAGGGCACCCACCAUGUCAUUACAGUCAAUCUGUUUAUAAUAGCUGUUAACUGAACGUUACAGGAGGUCAUGUUUGCACUAAACCCCCAAGCUGGGGCCUCAACACACCAGGCUGAACCUCAAGAUGAAGUCAUCCGUGCUACCAAGCCAUCAGUAAACUUCACCUGACCCUCUAAGGCCCGGGAUUAGAGAGAUAAUGGCCAUAAUUUCCACAGAUGUCACAGUCAAUCAGUAUGACAAAUUCCCUCUCCCCUAAUCCUAAUACAAAGAACUAACAAAAUGAUUUGAGGUGAAGCUAAUCAAUGAUUCUCUUAAUCCCGUGUCUCCCUCGACUGACGUUACAGCAGUGGUUCUCAACCUGUGGGUGGCAAUCCCCUUGGAGGGUCAAAUGGCCUUUUCCCUGGGGGUCACCUAAGAGCAUGGGAAAAUACAGAUAUUUGCAUUAAGAUUAAUAACAGUAGCAACAUUACAGUUAUGAAAGAGCAAUGAAAAUCAUUUUAUGGCUGAGGGUCACCAGGACAAAAAGAACUGUAUUAAAGUGUCACAGUGUUAGGAAGGCUGAGAACCACAGUUAUAUAAGGAUGGUCGGUUUGAAACUUCUGAUCUGCUCUCUUGGCUUUUGUUUCUGGGCUCUAAUUUGUUCUUUAACUCUAGAAGGUCAUGUAAUAGAGAGAAGAUGGGACCCCAUGACAAAAGGGCAAGUCAGAGAGGAAGCAGCCCACACCUACACCUGCGUGCCUCGCUCCUACCUCCACAGAAGGACUGGAACCAUAAGAGAAUCAGCCUGCCUUUACCAGAACCACCAUGCAGGGGCAGGAUGAGGGCAAAGGUGAGAUCAGUUCACUGUGCCUCUUUUUUACGUUUUAUUUCACUCUUCUACUGGAGACUCAGCCACUUGCUUCCGAGAUAAUCAAAAGAAACAAACAACAAGGGCAGGCGUGCCAAAACUGAGUUUUAACACUUCUCAAUCCCCUGCCUACUCCCCCUCAAUGUGCUUGCUCGGGAGACCAGAGAGAAAUGCUUUUCAUCAAAUUAAAAUGUAAAAUGCUUUCUUUUUUUUUUUUUCCCUGCCUGGUGACCGGGGAUAUUCUGCUGACUCAGCUGUGAAUAAUCAGCUUUGACCUAAAUAAUAAAAUAACUCACAGCGCUGUGGUUGCACAAGCAGGUCCAAAUCUGCAGUUCCUUCUUUCCCCUUGUCCUCUCCCCAACCCCCUCCAGGCUCUGGGCAGGCAAGCCAGUUACAUCAGGUUCUUACUGCCUCUCCACUCCCAUCUGGCUUGUCCCAACUUCAUUUCUCUUCAGAGAUCUUCCAAAAAUGGUCCCGCUCCAGAACCAGGCCGACCUCUUCUCCUCCCUCCCGCAGUAAACACUAGCCUUGGGCAAUCUCCUUCCUCGACCCUGCAUUACAGAUUGCUGCUCAGAGGGUGGCCUUUCUUCAAACCUCUCAUGAGUCAGUCGCCAGCCAAAGGAGACCGAGGAAAGCAGAGCUUCCUGUGUCAAGGUCCUGCUGCUGCUGCUGCUGCUGCUUCUCCUCAAAGCCAUGUAGAAGGUGGCGGACUCCCUGCCUCCCUCUCCAAUGUGGGCGGAGACUGACUGACCCAGCUGGCUCACCAGGCACCUGCUAAGAGGCUGGGGUGCGCUGGAUGAUGGGGCAGAGGUGAGACGAAGGAGUGCUGGAAUAAAAGUUGUCAUAAUAGCAGUGCCAUGUGGCACCUCACUCACAGUGAAGUCUGCCGUCAAGAACCCGAGGCAGGAGAAUGAUGAGCUCCAAGCCAGGUUACAUAGUUAAUUCAAGGGUGGCUUGGGCUACAAGGUGGACCCUGUCACAAGGCAGGGGGUGGAGUUGACAGAUGUGAGGAUCCAGGCCUGUGAUCUCAGCAUGUACAGCCUAAGACGUGGGGAAGCUACAAGUUCAAGGUGAUGAGGCCAGCCUGGUCAACACAGAGAGUUCCGGGAUUGCCUGUUCUACACACUGCACUUCAGGCCAGCCCGAGCUACAUCGAAAAACCUUGUCCUCAGGAGGCCGAUCUCUGAGCUGGAAGCCAGCCUGGUCUGUAGUGUGAGUUCCAGGAUAGCCAGGGCUGCACAGAGAAACCCUGUCUUAAAAACCAAACCAAACCAACCAACCAAACAAACAAACAAAAGAAAAAUUUUGUUUCAAAAGUUCCCCUGCCCCAGGUUGAGAGCAUGGCACCCACAAACCCUUUUCAACUCAUGCUACCUUGAGAGACUUUUUGAAGAACGCUGUAGGGGGGGGGGGGGGUUAAUAAAGUACUAGGAGGAGAGGCAGACCUUCUGAUUCCAGCACCAGAGAAGCUGAGGCAGGAGGACUGACACAAGUUUGAGGUCAGCCAGGGGUACAUAGCAAAUUCAAAGCUAACUUGGGCUAUACAGCAAGACCCCCAUCUCCCAAAACAAAACGACAUUCAACAAACUAGGAAACAGAACCUCUGUACACAGACUCAAAGCAUCUGGGACCUGUUCUCCAUCUCUGCUAGUCCCUAACGGAAGUAGGAGGAAUAAAUUUGGGUUUAAGAUUUUUUUUUGUGCUGGAAUAAUAUCUAGAGACAUACCUCAAGGACAGUGAAAAAUUAUUAUUCUCAGAGGACAAGACUGGCUCUGUUCAGAUGGGGGCAAUUUCCUUGCAGCUGCACUCGGGAGGCAGAGGACAGGCCACACAGACUUUAUUAGAUCUUUGAAAGCAGGAAAAGGAGGCAUCAAGUGACUUGUCUGGGCAGUGUGUAUGUCGGGGGUCGGGGGAAUGGAGUGUACUGUACGCAGCCUGCUUCUCUGGAGCUGACUAGAGAAGAGGUUUUCUUAUCACCUGGAAGGGCUGAGACCUUUCUGGACUCUGUGGUGUGUAUGUGUGUAUGUGUAUGUGUGAGUGUGUGUUUAUAUGUGUGUGUGUCUGUGUGUAAGUGUGUGUGUAUGUGUAUGUGAGUGUGUGUGUGAGUGUGUGUAUGUGUGUAUGUGUGUAUGUCUGUGUGUGUGAGUGUGCGUGAGUGUGUAUGUAUGUGUAUGUGUUUGUGUGUGUGUCUGUGUGUGUAUAUGUGUGUGAGUGUGUGUGAGUGUGUCUGUGUGUGAGUGUGUAUGUGUAUGUGUGUGUGAGGGUGUGUGAGUGUGUCUGUGUGUGAGUGUGUGUAUGUGUAUGUGUGUGAGGGUGUGUGUGUCUGUGUGUGUGAGUGUAUGUAUGUGUAUGUGUGUGAGUGUAUGUGUAUGAGAGUGUGUGUGUGAGUGUGUGUGUCUGUGUGUGUGUGAGUGUGUCUGUGUGAGUGUGUAUGUAUGUGUAUGUGUGUGUGAGUGUGUGUGUGU